rnacentral:rRNA from 1 species
UACGUAGGGUGCAAGCGUUGUCCGGAAUUAUUGGGCGUAAAGAGCUCGUAGGCGGCCUGUUGCGUCCGCUGUGAAAACUCGGGGCUUAACCCCGAGCCUGCAGUGGAUACGGGCAGGCUAGAGGUAGGUAGGGGAGAAUGGAAUUCCCGGUGUAGCGGUGAAAUGCGCAGAUAUCGGGAGGAACACCGGUGGCGAAGGCGGUUCUCUGGGCCUUACCUGACGCUGAAGCACGAAAGCCAGGGGAGCAAACGGG